AGAGUUUGAUCCUGGCUCAGGACAAACGCUGGCGGCGUGCCUAACACAUGCAAGUCGAGCGAGAAGGGAGCUUCGGCUCCUGGAAAGCGGCGAACGGGUGAGUAACACGUGGGCAACCUGCCUCAAGGAUUGGGAUAACGUCGGGAAACCGACGCUAAUACCGAACGAUGUCGUCCGGCGCAAGCCGGCCGACCAAAGGGUAGCUUCGGCCUCCGCCUUGAGAUGGGCCCGCGUCCUAUCAGCUAGUUGGUGAGGUAACGGCUCACCAAGGCUACGACGGGUAGCUGGUCUGAGAGGAUGAUCAGCCACACUGGGACUGAGAUACGGCCCAGACUCCUACGGGAGGCAGCAGUGGGGAAUCUUGCGCAAUGGGCGAAAGCCUGACGCAGCAACGCCGCGUGAGCGAAGAAGGCCUUCGGGUUGUAAAGCUCUGUCAGGGGGAAAGAAGGCACCUGGGUUAAUAGCCCAAGGGCUGACGGUACCUCCAAAGGAAGCCACGGCUAACUACGUGCCAGCCGCCGCGGU
rnacentral:rRNA from 1 species